rnacentral:misc_RNA from 1 species
GCAUCUUCCAUUGUUCGUUGUUCUUGUUCUUCUUCCCACGAUGGGUAAAGAAAGGGAAAAAGAAAGAGUAGACAAGAAGAUGUUUGUUGGAGUUGUAAUGAACUGUGCUGCGGAGCUUAAGCUUUUUUUUAACAGCUCUUUUAAUUCUCUGCUGUAUAGCUACUCUUCUACAGUUUAUUCCUUCUCGUUUCUCUAUCUCCACUCUCCAGAAUCCCCACCACUACUACCACCACCACCACAACCACCACCUCCUCCAUUGGUCACCCAGAAACGCC